rnacentral:rRNA from 1 species
UGGGGAAUAUUGCACAAUGGGCGCAAGCCUGAUGCAGCGACGCCGCGUGGGGGAUGACGGCCUUCGGGUUGUAAACUCCUUUCGCUAGGGACGAAGCUUUUUGUGACGGUACCUAGAUAAGAAGCACCGGCUAACUACGUGCCAGCAGCCGCGGUAAUACGUAGGGUGCGAGCGUUGUCCGGAAUUACUGGGCGGAAAGGGCUCGUAGGUGGUUUGUCGCGUCGUCUGUGAAAUUCCGGGGCUUAACUCCGGGCGUGCAGGCGAUACGGUCAUAACUUGAGUACUGUAGGGGUAACUGGAAUUCCUGGUGUAGCGGUGAAAUGCGCAGAUAUCAGGAGGAACACCGAUGGAGAAGGCAGGUUACUGGGCAGUUACUGACGCUGAGGAGCGAAAGCAUGGGUAGCGAACGGG